GAAGAAGAAGAAGAACAAAGAAUGGUUCUCUUCUUCUUCUUUCUCUUCUCGAGAAUUGAAGGAAGAGAUACGAAUGUGUGUGUGUGUAUAUAUAUAGUAUAUACAAGAAGACUACCCGAGCAAGGACAGGAGAAAAGUUGAAGAGGUUCGAAUCCUGGGUUUGGGGGGUCAUUACCAAGGUUCCGAAUCAGGUUUGCGGAAUCUUCCAUGCUUAGAUUUUGGAACCAUUCAAUAUCUUAUUGCUCAGCUAUUUAGUGGAUGGAUUAUCUAAUAUCCAAGUCGAGCUGUCGUCGGGCCACAAGAAAGAGUUUGUGCAAACUCGUCGAGCGAGAAAUUGACGGUUCAAAAUUUCAGCCAAUGACAAACUUAUGCCGUCAAGGAGUAGAAAACCUUGUCCUUCAGAUGGAACAAUCUUCUUUUGGUUUGAUCCCACUUAUAUAAUGAACUUAGCAUUCAUAACUAUCUAUCAUUCAGUAAGUGCAAUUUUAGAGAGAGAGAGAG
rnacentral:lncRNA from 1 species